rnacentral:piRNA from 1 species
GAUUUUUGACUGGGUUCGCGAAAUACC